AUUGUGGCAAUGCAGUGAUUUUUUUUUCUCAAAUUAAGAGCAGAAGGGUGUUUAGACAUCAAAAAGAAUUGUUUGAAAUCCCAAACAUUUUAUUAUUAAAGCUCACUAGCUGAGGUUUGCUGACAAGGGGAAUAAUCAUACAACAUAAUCUUUUAUUUCAUCAGAGAAAGUAGAGAAAGCCAUGCUACCCAAGAUCUGAAGCCCAAGAUCCACAAAAUGGUUUCAUAUGAGUGACAUCCUACUUAAGACAGCUGUCUGAAGGGAAAUAAAUGGGAUUUAAUCUGCCAUAAAAUGAAUUGCACAAUUUAUUUUUCUUGAGCAAGUCAUGCCUUGUGACAUUGGUGAGCUAUAACAGUUUUACUGUGAAAAGAAGCAUCUCUUUCUAUGCCAAACCCAUAUUGAUUCAACCAUGUGGAGCUUUCAUCCAGAAAAAGCAACUGGAAAACCUGAUUGGCUUACCCACUACCUGAGGAUGGGUGUUAUCCUUUUCUGUCUUUACAAGGACUGAUGUAAAACAUGAGCCCUAAAUAAUUAUUAAAUCCCGAGAGAGAAGUUUUUAAGAUGCUUGGUUAUUAAAUAUGAAAUACAUGAGGUUGUCAGUCAACCAUUAAUGUCCUACAAAAAAAAUGACAAUUUCCUAUGCCUCAAACUAAUAUUUAAGAAAAUGAAACUGUGAAAGAGCUAAAUGCUAGGUAGAAAAAUGACAAUUAGAUGGGAUUAUCAUUUCUUCAAAAUAAAAAUAUUUUAAAAAAUUAAAAGCAAGAUAAUUUUAAAGCAACUAAGAGAGGAAAUAUAAAUAUUUAUAAUCCUCAAUUUGACUACAUUUUCUAUACAGGUAUUUUUAAAGGCCUCACAAUAGAGCUACAGCAUUAUAACUUGAUUUAUUCCAUUCAUUUACACACACAAAAUAUUUUUAAUGGCAAAGAAAAAGAGAGUAAUGAUAAAUUUUUUCAACUGUGAAUUUUUUUUCUAAAAUUAUAUGUGAUACCUGAUUAAAGCCCAACUAGACAAUGGAACUUAGGCUGUGUCUUUUCACUCUACAUUUUCCGAAAGAUUGGAGUUCCCGUUGUGGUUCAGUGGUGAACAAAUCCAACUAGGAACCAUGAGGUUGCGGGUUCAAUCCCUGGCCUUGCUCAGUGGGUUAAGGAUCUGGUGUUGCCAUGAGCUGUGGUGUAGGUCACAGAUGUGGCUCGGAUCCCAUGCUGCUGUGGCUCUGCUGUAGGCUGGCAGCUACAGCUCCGAUUAGACCCCUCGCCUGGGAACCAGUACCACUCCACACCCUGGGCUCCCUCUCAGGGACAAAGGCAAAAAUAAUUGGUAAAACAGAACCAUUCCAUGAAAACCAUGCAUUUCAUCCUUUUGCAGCAUGAUAUACACAUUUAUCACUGGAAAUCGAACAGCUUUCCUUCAAUUCUAUAUAAGAGGAUGAUGAAUUUCUAAAUAGAAAAGUGUAGAAUUGAAUUUUAUAAUACUUUCUUAGUUUCAGCUACUUAUUUGUAUUUAAUUUUAUGUUCUGAUUUUAAAAUGUGAUGAUCCUUAUAAUUUAAAAUAUGAAUAAUAAUAAAUCUCAACAAGUCCAAGGGUCAUUUAGAGUACCAGUUCUCAAUAAAUCUGAGACCCAAGAAUAGCUUGUCUUUCAGUCUAGUGUACUAUCAGAAAGGACACCAGCACUAAAGCAUUUUUGUCGACUGUCAUCUCAGAAUCUUUAUAUGCACUUUAGUGUUAGUAUUUUGUCGUAUAAAAUAGAGCUGCACUACCAUCCCUCAUCUAUUUUACAACCUUUUCACACCAAUGAUACCUUCCACCUUUGAAGAGCUGUAAAACUUGUACUAACUGAUUUGUUUGCUUACGGAAAUCUUCCUUAAUGGUAUACUUGGAGAGUAUAUAUUUCUGUAAAAUAGAACCUGAAAUUCAAGAAUUCAAGACUUGUCAUUACCACUUGCAAAAUGACUUCAAAUAGUCUAUUUUAAAGAAUUAUAAGCUCUUUCAACAAUGUGUAGAGACUAAGAUUUUUAUGGUAGUAUGGAUCUUUAAAGAAAUUCUGUGUAUCUAUAGAUGGGUUCUGAAUUUGGCAUGAAACUGAAUAACUAAUUUCAAAGCAAAAUACAUCUAUAAAAUAUUGAAAGGAGUAUUUGUAUAACAAAGAAUGAAAAUUGGCAAGGGAGGAGUAACCUGAAAUUAAACAUAAAAUGCUAUAAAAUGAGUUCAUAAGAAGGCAGAAUAAAUGCUAUAUUGUGAAAAUGCUAAAAUCUAUCAAAGAAAUGUAAUAAUGAAUAUUACAUAAAAUAAUGUAGAGAUAAUGCUAUAGAAUUCCCAUCCCAAAUUUUCCUUUAUAGAUUUAUAAAUCCAGCAUCAGUUAAAUGCUAACUAAUAAUAGAAAAAUUUAUGUCAUAAUAAGAAGUAUAAAAAACAGGAGAAUUUUGAAGUUCUGCAAGUUAUGUAUCUGCACUACUCAUGGAAACUGCAACCCCAACUUGGAGACACACGAUAAUUAUUCUGAAACCUGAUUUGCAUAAAAAUUGUACAUAGAUUUUGUUGAGGUGGAGAGUCUGAUAUAUCUGGAUGGGACCUGAGCGUCUGCAUGGCUAAUAAGUGUCAAUGUGGUGCUGAUGUUGCUGGUCUGUGGACCACACUUUGAUUACCAAGGAUCUAUGCACUCUGACAGGAAGAUACCGGAUUUCUUUAAAGUUGCUGAUUUUGCUAGAUGAGGAGGACGGUUUCAACCUUCUGACUUUCCUCUAGCUAGAACUUGGAGAUGAUUAAUAGGUCUUUGUGAAACCAAAACACUCAGCUCCUGACAUUUCCUGUCCAGGAAGUUUGAAACAAGCAGGGACAAGAGAAAGAGUGUGCAUGUGCGCUGGUGUGUCUGUGUGUGUACACCCAGGGCAGAGUUGCGUCUCCACACCUGCAUUAAGGAAGCAUGUCAGAAACUCUCCCUUGAGUUUCCUCAGCUUGAACUUGAAUUCUUCUAAGCUCACAAAGUUUAGAGAAUUGUCAGGUUCAAAUAUGCCCUGUCUCUGAGGUUAAGCCCCAGCUUAGCUGACACAUUUCAACAUUUUCCAUGUGGAUGCAGUGAAGGUUGCCUGGAAUUUGGAGAUAAGCCCAGGAUUAGUCCUGCUUUAAAGUCAUCAUGAAGCCUUGUUAUAGGCCUCAAGUUAAGUUGUUAAAUGUAUUUCUGAGAGCUUACUGGAAAAAAUAUAUAUAUUCACUCACUUUGGGAAGCUUCAGAUAGCAAAAACAUGGGGUUGGUUUUGAAAACUUACCUGCAGGCUUGCACCUUCCUGUUUUUAUAGACAGUAAGCUUAUGUUCUGAGGCUAAAACAACAUGCUUUUACCAAGCUUGCUUCAGGAGGAAUAGCUAAACUGAGAGGUGCCAGAAUGUUCACUUUUUUAAAAAGCAUUUUGAAAAUGGGGUCAACUGGGUAAAUCCAAGCAGAUUUUCAAAAAUCACCUUGCAAUAUUUAUAGCUAUUCUAUAAAGUCUAAAAUACUUCUGUAUUUUUUCUCUAUUGCUAUGAAACCAGUACUACAGAACUUACCAAUCAUUAGGAUGAUUAUAUUUUUUGGAACUAUGAAUUCCAAGGGAUAUUACACUUGUGCUAUUAACAUGGCUAAUAUUUUGGCUCUCAUUUUUUUUUUCCAUGCACAGCUAUUCUACUGACCUGGGGGACAUAAAAUAUAAAGCAGUAAUACUUGAUUAAGUCUUGUCAAAAUGUUAUUGCCUUUAGCCAAAGGAUAUUAAAGAAUAUUCAGAAGAGCUACAGUGCAAAGGUGUUAAAAUACAUACUGAACAGACUUGGAACAGGGAGUAUAUUUCUGAAAAUAAAUAUGAAGUAUAGCAUUUCAGAAAUAAUUUCCUAAAGGUAGCCAAAAAAUCCCCUGUAUUUGCCUGUACUUUAAAAUUGUCUAGCCUACUUAAUGCGAUGUUUAAAGAAUUGGUGGAAAAAGACUCUACAUGUUACAGGAUUUGGAUUUCUGUUUGCUUUUUUUUUUAAAUCAUAAAGUAUAAUAGAUUUUUAACAGCGUGGCUAUACAUAAUAUCUGAAUAAAAAGCUGAGACAACUUCUUUGUCUUGGAGGCCCAGUAAACACAAGAUGCCUGGUGAUAACCUCUUUCUUUUGUAAUAGUAAAAACAGUCCUGAAAGCAAUUUUGAUAAACGCACAUGUAAGGCCACUCAUAUAAUUUAGGGAGGUAACCCAAUCCAUUUAUCCUCCUUUUGACAGAAUUAAAAAUUUAACUUUUCUUCAAUAUCUGUAUAAAAACAUGUUUAUUGGGAAAAUUGGAUAUGUUUUUUAAAAAUGUUAAUUUUCCAACAUUUCAUAAAUUGCCACAAUUUUUUCUUCAUAUGCCCUCCAACUGAUUUCUGUUCCUUCUGGAGAUAGGGGUGCGGAGGGGAGAGAAAGACAGGUGAUAGAUGAUGGAUGGAUGGAUGGAUGGAUGGAUGGAUGGAUAGAUGGAUUUAUGGAUAGACGGAUAGAUGGAGGAAUGGAUGGAUGGAUUCAAUCAUUCAUUCAUUCUUAUAAAUAUGAUUAAUUAAAUGGAGAGCAUCUCCUCACAAAGUGUGAGACCAUGAGUUCCAUGUUUCAGGAGAGUAUUUGGCAAGGAAUAGUCAGAAGUUGAGAGCAGUUACCCUCCCCUAGGGCACAGCCCCUUUGUCUAAUGAUAUGUCCAUCACCACCUCCCAAGGGGGAGGUACUUGGAUAAUUAAGAAGUUACUCAUUGCCAUUUUGGUAAGAAAUCUGAGACACCAAGUGGUCAAUUUACCCAAGGUCAUAUAGCUAACAGUUGGUAUCAGGAUUCUAACCUGUGUCUAUCAUGUUGAUUUUCUAGAUUUCCUGCAAGUUAGAAAGCAUGAGUGAUGAUUUUAGAUUCACCAAAACCCUCAUAUUUUAUCAGAUGAGGUUCUGUAACCUGAAACAAAAACUUGGAAAGAGAAUCUCCCCUAUUCCACACAACUUCAGAAUCAUGUAUAUUCUAAGAGAUCUUAGAAGUAUUUUAUCAUAUAUUUCUUUCCAUGUUUCCUCUUACACACAUAGGCAGGCUAGUCAAAUGAAACACAUAUUCAAAAAAAAUUUCCUUUUGAAAGUUUGAUGAUCAAAAAAUAAUGCUUUCAACUUGAUAGUUCUUAGGAAGAGAACACUUCAAUGAAAGAUUUAUGAAAACUUUAAAUCCUUAAACAUGCCCACUAGGAAAGUCAAAAUCCCCAUUAGCCUCCCAACUAAUCCUUUUUGUAUCGCUUCACUUCACGAACACUGGUGACAUCGACAGCCUCCUGGAACACACCUCCUUCCCAGGUAACUUACACACAGAAGGAGAAUCCACCUAACUGAUAUUAUGACAAUAAACAGAAGUCAAGACAAACGUGGAUGCCACUAUUUUCUCCCUCUUUAAUGACUUUCAUUUGAAAAAUAACUUUGAGAAAUAUUCAGCAAAAAAUGCUCUACCAUCCACAAUUUUCUGCUCCCCAGUGUUUCCUACUCUAUUACCCCCUGGUCAAAAGUCUGCUGUAGGAAAUAGUUUAUCAAGUCAAAGUUAAUUAUGUAGAAAAUUCUCCAAAGAUUCACUAUCUUAUUUCUCUCAGGACCAGUCAACCAAAAAAUAACAUUUAUUUGGUGAUGUGCACUCCUGGAUCUUUAUUCCCUUUUUCCGUCUUAUAUUUAAAAGCAAAGUUUUAGCUUUAACACUUGAAAUGACUAUUUUUAGCUUGAGGUAAUAAUGACUAUUUUGAAACAAGCAGCUUCAAUUAAAAAUUUUUAAAAAAGCAAUCCAUGUGUUAUUUAAAUUAAUUUUAAACAAUACAUUUAAUUUUAGGUACUUAUUCAAUAUUUAUUUAGAUACUUAUUAAAUGCAUAUCUACCUAAGCAAUGCAAGGCAAACACUGCUUUGAAAUCAACCUAAAUUACCAAAUCGGUACCUCACUAUUUCAACAGAAUGAUAGACAACCUUGCAUUUGUCAUAUGAACUUCAACAUACAUGAACAAUCAAGCAAACCUUGAAUAAGUAAUUGAAGUGAAUCACUGCAGACCAGAAAUGUUAAAAGAACCUCAAAACUAACACACCAAGAAGUUUCACUUUUACAGAAUUUUUAAGUACUAUGAAGAAAAGGAUGUUUCUGUUGCAAAGGAAAUUUCCAAAACUUUGGUUAGUCCACAAGAUCUCAAGAUGCACUCUCUUAUGAGGCAUUAUUGCUACUCUUUCUUACACACAUACAGAACAGCUCAGCAGCACCCCUUCAUGCAACAAAAUAGAAAGUAGACUGUAUCCCCAAGUAGAUAAGUAUGUUCGGAAAGAGUUUCUGCCUCUCCACUCACACCAGCCAGGAAUGAAGAAUUUUACUUUCCCUGCAGUAUUAAUAAUUUCCACAUUUAGAGUGAGUAUGAUUUAUCAAGUCCUAAUCUCAAGAAACUUUCUAUAAUCUUAUUCCCCUGAUUUAUAAAUCAAAUUAUGUUCAUCAAAGUAGUAAAGAAUCUUAAAACUUUCAUCAAAUUUUCUAAUACACUGUAACUCCAAGUUU
rnacentral:lncRNA from 1 species